rnacentral:lncRNA from 1 species
AUGCCUUUCCUUCCAGAACCAAGACACCAGCUUAGGCAACUAACACUUUCUUCGACUAGGGCAAGAGCUUUUAUCUUUCAGAAAUUCACACAGCAGGAUAACAACAGAUCCUCUGAACCAGUUUGCUUGAAAUCUGAUGUUUGGUUCCAGUGCUUUCCUAGGAACAGUUCAUAUCCUCAUACACUGAAACACGAGAGUUUGGCAUUUAACACUAGCAAUAUGCACGUGCCUAGGAACACAGUUGUAAACUCUAUACACUACUAUCAAAAGGUGGCAUUCUUCAAGGAGGAACCUAAAAGAUCUCGCAAACCUCGGUCAUUGUCAUCACAGCUUUUCCCUCGGAGGGCUGGGACAGGCGAACUUCCCGUGGCCACAGCAGAGGCGCUGCUCUCCCGGCUGCUCCCGCGGUCACGAAUCGCUUUCCCUCCAUUUCCCGAUCCCGAUCCCGAUCCCGAUCCCGAUCCCGAUCCCGAUCCCGAUCCCGAUCCCGAUCCCGAUCCCGAUCCCGAUCCCGAUCCCGCCCCUCGCCGCUUUCCCCGCGUCCCGGUGCGCGCGCAGCCGGAAGGCGCCGCGCCCGCCCCGCCCCGCAGCGCCGCGUAUUUAGCGGGAUGUGGGCGGGGACUCGCCCUUUCCGAGGGGGAGAACCGGAGCUGCCGCCUGUGGUCGGGGUGCGUGCCUCGCUGGAAAGUGAAGCUCAAUAUGAGUUUGUUACUGGCUUUGGGAAUCCUCAGUCUGGACUCUGCCAUGCCUUGCAAGCAGAAAGAUGCCACAUGAAUUCUGGAGCUACAAAAGCUGUGUGACAUCAGAUGACCACCUCCACUGUCUUCCAGCCUUGUGUAUGCACACAGGGCCAACAGGAGAGUUCACCCACUUGUUGAAGUGUGGGUAUUUAAGGAG